AUCCUCCCCCAGAAAUGCAUUGGAGGAAUUCAUAGCAGGAUUCAGAAACCUUCCACCAACAACCUUGCUACUCAAAAUAUCACAAAUGUCAGGGAUUCUUGAAGUCCCACCCCAACGCAGAAUCCUUAUUUCUUGCAAGCGAACUAGUAGCAGAUUCGUGUAAAUGCAUGAUGAUUAGGUUCGUUCGAGGCAAUGCCCUGAUGUGAAUCCCUAUAAUUGGUUGACUUGCAAGAUCGAAGACGCGAUUUGCGUGGAUCCGCUUUCUUUUUGAAGAAUGGAUCAUUCAAUGGGUACUAAAGUUGGUGGUUCGACAACUUUAAGUGUAGACAUAGUGUUAGUCAUCUCCUUAACUAUGCAAAAAAUUUAAAUAUUCGAGUGCAUACAUGUCUGUGCACAAUACGCAAGUGUUGAAAUAAUUCUUUUAGUUACAACAGAGAGUCGUUAGAUUAGCAAAAUAUCGUAGUUUGUGGAUUCGAAUAACGUAGACCAAGAACCAGAACAAGUGGUAUUAGAGCAAAAAGUUAGCUAGUGUAGGUCAAAUAUGAUUAAAUAUUUUGUCGGUAACAUUUAAGAAGUAUGAGCCCUUCAUUUCUA